GAUGAAGAACGCAGCGAAAUGCGAUAAGUAAUGUGAAUUGCAGAAUUCAGUGAACCAUCGAAUCUUUGAACGCACAUUGCGCCCGGCAGUAAUCUGCCGGGCAUGCCUGUCCGAGCGUCAUUUCUGCCCUCGAGCGAGUCCAGCAUCUAGGUGCUGGGCCCGCCCGGCGUUGGGGCACUACGGGAAGCCCUGUGCUGUCCCCCGUAGGCCCCGAAAUGAAGUGGCGGUCCUGCCGCGGCGCCCCCUGCGUAGUAUAACAGCUCGCUUCGGGACCCGGUGGAGGCCUGCCGUCAAACCUUACUCUCUAAGUUUGACCUUGGAUCAGGUAGGGUUACCCGCUGAACUUAAGCAUAUCAAUAAGCGGAGGA
rnacentral:misc_RNA from 1 species